GAUGAACGCUGGCGGCGUGCCUAAUACAUGCAAGUCGAGCGAACAGACGAGGAGCUUGCUCCUCUGACGUUAGCGGCGGACGGGUGAGUAACACGUGGAUAACCUACCUAUAAGACUUGGAUAACUUCGGGAAACCGGAGCUAAUACCGGAUAAUAUAUUGAACCGCAUGGUUCAAUAGUGAAAGACGGUUUUGCUGUCACUUCUAGAUGGAUCCGCGCCGCAUUAGCUAGUUGGUAAGGUAACGGCUUACCAAGGCAACGAUGCGUAGCCGACCUGAGAGGGUGAUCGGCCACACUGGAACUGAGACACGGUCCAGACUCCUACGGGAGGCAGCAGUAGGGAAUCUUCCGCAAUGGGCGAAAGCCUGACGGAGCAACGCAGCGUGAGUGAUGAAGGUCUUCGGAUCGUAAAACUCUGUUAUUAGGGAAGAACAAAUGUGUAAGUAACUAUGCACGUCUUGACGGUACCUAAUCAGAAAGCCACGGCUAACUACGUG
rnacentral:rRNA from 1 species